rnacentral:rRNA from 1 species
CAGUCGCCGCGGUAAUACGAAGGGUGCAAGCGUUAAUCGGAAUUACUGGGCGUAAAGCGUGCGUAGGCGGUGAGUUAAGUCUGUUGUGAAAUCCCCGGGCUCAACCUGGGAAUGGCAAUGGAUACUGGCAAGCUAGAGUGUGUCAGAGGAUGGUGGAAUUCCCGGUGUAGCGGUGAAAUGCGUAGAGAUCGGGAGGAACAUCAGUGGCGAAGGCGGCCAUCUGGGACAACAUUGACGCUGAGGCACGAAAGCGUGGGGAGCAAACAGGAUUAGAUACCCCUGUAGUCCCUGUCUCUUAUAA